ensembl:lncRNA
GCCCCAUUCUGCUGUCCAGCAACCUAACGCUGCACGGCGUGUUCGUGAAAAAGAAAAGUUCCUGUUUCCUGCUUCUCUCAGAUGGAACCAGAUUAUGAGUUUCUGCUCCUGGGAAGAUUAUUAAUGACAAAAGAAGGACAAAUAAUGAGCCGUUGUACCUGCAUAGGUAAGGACACGUUGUGUUCCCACGUUACCUCACAGCCACCGUAGUUUACCGACGUGUUCGGAAAGGAGGAGUGAAUGGAAGGGUCUCCCACCGCCUGCAAUCUACAACCUUACCGCAAGAUGCCCCCAAACCCUCCAACACCAACGACCCUUGAGUCAUCCUCUAUACCAGGCCCGACUUCGGCAUACCCCCCCCCCGCGUGGGCUGCAUCUGGCCCGCACCUGAAAUGAGUUUGAGACCCUCCUCGAUACAAUAGAAUUCUUUCCAAAGGGAAUGCUGGCAUGUGGUGUGCAGCUGCAUCAUUCCUAUUGACACUUUGUCUUAAACUGUUCAUGCCGUGUUUCUUCAUGUCCACAUACCCAGUGACAUAUAAAUGCAUGCUUACACCUCUGCAGAGAUUAAUGAUAAUUUGUGGCCUGUGACUCAAUUUAAGGAAACCUAUCUGACAUCCGGAGCUCUGACUGAGGUUUCCUUUUCAUUCCUUGAUGUGACGUGAAUGCAGAGUUCAGACAGAGGACACGAACACACAUUGAGAGAGACGCUCCUCUUGUUGAAGCUGACCUGUCCUUCAAGGGAGGCCUGUGAUUGGACCAACCGUUUUCAUAUGGGUCCAUCGGAGACGGAUCACGUCUGAUCAGUUCUCAUGGUGACCGUGGGACGGGGACUGGGGGGUUGUUUGGUUGUAUGGACACAAAUACACAAACACACACACACACACACACAGACGGACACACUGCACAUUCUCCCAGUGGGUUUAUUAAUUAAAAGACCCUUCUUGUUGCCCUGGAUUGUUUUAUUGUGUAAUAUGUAGAAGGUGCGUUCAGGAUUACGCGUCCAGAGUUUGACCGGUUAGAUGUUACCUCCCCGUUUCAAAUACUGAUCAUUGGCGCUUUUAUAACUUUGUGCUUACUCAGCUGGACUCCGUUUAAAUGACGCCAACAGAAGACCUGUGACUAAGAAUUCUCGUGUGUAUUUUGUGUACUUCAGUGUAUGUCAGCAUUAUACAAUGGGAACCAAGAGGUCAAUAUGGGCCCAAAUUGGCCCUUGAUGUCAGCUGCCCAGUAGCUCUAACACACUGUCUCUCG